GGGUUACAACAUGCGACAAUUUUGACAUUGCCCGCUUCAAAAAUACCUCGGGAAAGCCACAUAUAAGUCGACUACCAGCGCGACUAGCGAAUAUACGGAGCAAGGAGCAACGUUGGCUGAUAAUUUCUACAUGUUCACGCAGUGAAGCUUUAGGAGAAAGAUAAACAGCUAUUGGUUGGUACGAUGAAUACGCUCGGUGUUUUCGUACUGGUUACUUCAGCAGCAUUUGGGAAAGGACUUCCAAGAAUCUACAAUGGUCCUUACAAAAGUGCGCAGCAACAAGGCUUACCCGGAAUACCGAUUCCAACGCUGCCCCCCAACGUUGGUAAUCCGCAAGGGGGGCUACCCGGAUUUGGAAACUCGCGACCGCAAUUUCCGUCAUUCAGUAUUCCAAGCGGGAUGCCCGGAACAAUGCCACCGUUGCCAUUUUCGACCGACGGCUGGGGAAAUAUUAACCAGCGUCCUGCAACGCCCCAAUGGCCAUCCUAUCAGCCUUUCUUGAACAACAACGGCCAACAAGGAGGUGAGGAGUCCCGGUUGCCAUGGUCACCUGCAUCUGGUAAUAACGGUAACAAUGCAAGGUGGCCAGGUAUGCGAAGCCCGCCGCCCUCCUUUCCUUGGAACAUGACACAAGUGAGGCUGAAUGGUCAAACCAGCUUCUCUUGGCCCCCGACACCAUAUUCCAGCAGAAACAAUGAUAGCAACCGAAAUGACAUGCUUGGUCUUGGAGACCCACCUUCUUCCCGGAAUGGUCAGGACACUGACAACCAGCGACCAAAUAUUUUUCGAUCGCCACCACCGUUUUUCAGGCGCACCGAUAGGAGCAGUCGAACCACGAUCAGGACGCCGCCUUCUUUCCAACUGGCGAACGGUGACCUAGACUACUAAGACGGACCAUCUGCAAUCAACGCGGAACUUCACGUUCCACUCGCAGUAAUGCUGAAGAAACUAAAGGAAGCCAGCGGGCGGCUACAGCCGCUACAAGACAGAGCUACAUUUCUCAUGCUAAUAAAAUACACGUCCUAUA